rnacentral:rRNA from 1 species
GACGGGGACCCGCACAAGCAGCGGAGCAUGUGGUUUAAUUCGAAGCAACGCGAAGAACCUUACCAGGUCUUGACAUCCAUCUAAAGCGUUAGAGAUAACGUGUGAGCUUGCUCGAGAUGAGACAGGUGGUGCAUGGUUGUCGUCAGCUCGUGUCGUGAGAUGUUGGGUUAAGUCCCGCAACGAGCGCAACCUUUAUUGUCCGUUACUAACAGGUUAAGCUGAGGACUCAGACGAGACUGCCGGGGACAACUCGGAGGAAGGUGGGGACGACGUCAAAUCAUCAUGCCCCUUACGACCUGGGCUACACACGUGCUACAAUGGGUACAACAAAGAGAAGCAAAACCGUAAGGCGGAGCAAAACUCAAAAAGUACUCUCAGUUCGGAUUGUGGGCUGCAACCCGCCCACAUGAAGUUGGAGUUGCUAGUAAUCGCGGAUCAGCAUGCCGCGGUGAAUACGUUCCCGGGUCUUGUACACACCGCCCGUCACACCAUGGGAGUUGGGAGCGCCCGAAGCCAGUGAGCUAGCCGCAAGGAGGCAGCUGUCGAAGGUGAGACCAAUGACUGGGGUGAAGUCGUAACAAGGUAGGCCGUAUCGGAA